rnacentral:lncRNA from 1 species
CAAGCAAUUGCCAGCCAGUUUCAAAAUAUAUAGCUUCCCGACUAGCAAACACGGGCAACCCAGUUACUAACCUCCCUGCUUCUAACUGAACAUGUUCUAAAUUGUCGGCUUCUUGUUGAGUACAACCAUCCCAUAACUCAUAUGCAUAUUCCAUAACGGGUCUUAUAAAAGUUAAAUAUAUACGAGCAAGAUAAUUUCUAUUCAAUACAUAUUUCAAUUUUUUAAGAACAUUUAAUCUCGUGCUUGCACACUUUAAAAUAUUUUCUAUAUGUGUAUGGAAUUUAUCAUUGGAAUCAAAAG